GCAAAGGUAGCAUAAUCAUUAGUUCUUUAAUUGUGAUCUGGUAUGAAUGGCUUGACGAGGCAUAUACUGUCUUAGAAGUAUUGUUUGUUGAAUUUAGUUUUUGAGUUAAAAUUCUUAGAUGUUUUUAUGGGACGAGAAGACCCUAUAGAGUUUAACACUUAUUUUUAUUAUAAUUUGUUGUUUGUUUUUAUUUUUAAUUGGGUUAAGUGUUUUGUUGGGGUGAUGGGAGGAAUAUUUUUAACUCCUCUUUGUUUUUAUAUAUUGAUUUAUAUUUUUUUUGAUCCAUUUAUUUUGAUUAUAAGAUUAAAUUACCUUAGGGAUAACAGCGUUAUCUUCCUUGAGAGUUCUUAUUGGCGGGGAGGUUUGCG
rnacentral:rRNA from 1 species